rnacentral:tRNA from 1 species
AUAGGUGUAGCUCAGUGGUAGAGUACUUAGCAUGAUCAAGGCCCUGGGUUCAAGGCCCUGGGUUCAAUCCUCAGCUCUUCAA